CCAUUUAAAUUCAUUUAAACAUUUUAUUCAUUGUCGAAUGAAAACGCAGUUUAAUUGCGGUGGUGCAGUUAUUGGUUAGGUCAAUUAUUAUAAUUAUACUACACAGUGAUGCAUAAAUGCAUAAUGCAGUUUGAAACAAUUGCUAUUACAUCUAACUAAUCAAAAACUAAUAAUUUAUAGUAUUGUAAUAGUCUGUCGAAUGCGAGUGCCUCACUAUAUUUAUUUAGGUGGUAAUUUUUUUUUUUCUUUUAACGAACCAUGUCACAACGACGUGACGCCAUGCCACAACAACAAACAUGCCAACCUAACAAAAUACGGAAAACCGUUCAAUAAAUUAAUGAAAUGAAAAUAUGUGAUAAAUAACAAAACCAUGUAUAGAACCGAAAUACAAGUGAAGUAUGUUUUUAUCAUUUAUCAAUAAUCAUUAUGAUCUACAAGGGGUGGAUCGAUUUGUUUAUUUUUCUUAAUUCAAUAAAAUCUAUCGGACUCUUUGUAAAUUCUGCAAAUAUGUCAUCCAAAUGUUUCAAAAGAACUUUUAUCGUCACCGAGCAUGUUU